UUACCCAAUCCCAGAGCGGGGAGGUAGUGACGAAAAAUAACGAUGCGGGACUCUAUCGAGUUCCCGUAAUUGGAAUGAGUACACUCUAAACCUUUUAACAAGGAUCAAUUGGAGGGCAAGUCUGGUGCCAGCAGCCGCGGUAACUCCAGCUCCAAUAGCGUAUAUUAAAGUUGUUGCGGUUAAAAAGCUCGUAGUUGGAUCUCAGUCGCGGUCCGCCGAUCCGUCCCAGACGGCUAUUGGCGGGCCCGACAAGACGCCGGGUAGCGUUGCUGGCCUUUGCUGGUUGGUAGCGUUGUCCGGCAAUUUUACUUUGAAAAAAUUAGAGUGCUCAAAGCAGGCUGAGGCCUGGAUAAUGGUGCAUGGAAUAAUGGAAAAGGACCUCGGUUCUAUUUUGUUGGUUUUCGGAACCCGAGGUAAUGAUUAAGAGGGACAGACGGGGGCAUUCGUACCGCGAGGCUAGAGGUGAAAUUCUUGGAUCCUCGCGAGACGAACUACUGCGAAAGCAUUUGCCAAGAAUGUUUUCAUUAAUCAAGAACGAAAGUUAGAGGUUCGAAGGCGAUCAGAUACCGCCCUAGUUCUAACCAUAAACGAUGCCAACUAGCAAUCCGCCUGAGUUCCUCAUACGACUCGGCGGGCAGCUUCCGGGAAACCAAAGUUUUUGGGUUCCGGGGGAAGUAUGGUUGCAAAGCUGAAACUUAAAGGAAUUGACGGAAGGGCACCACCAGGAGUGGAGCCUGCGGCUUAAUUUGACUCAACACGGGAAAACUUACCCGGACCGGACACCGGAAGGAUUGACAGAUUAAGAGCUCUUUCUUGAUUCGGUGGAUGGUGGUGCAUGGCCGUUCUUAGUUGGUGGAGUGAUUUGUCUGGUUAAUUCCGAUAACGAACGAGACUCUAGCCUGCUAAAUAGGCGUCCCGUCGACCGCGGGGCGUUCUUCUUAGAGGGACAGGCGGCUUUCAGCCGCAUGAGAGAGAGCAAUAACAGGUCUGUGAUGCCCUUAGAUGUCCGGGGCCGCACGCGCGCUACAAUGAAGGGAUCAGCGUGUCCUUACCUAAGCCGAGAGGCCGGGGUAAUCCGUUGAAACCCCUUCGUGAUUGGGAUAGGGGCUUGUAACUGUUCCCCUUGAACGAGGAAUUCCCAGUAAGCGCGAGUCAUCAGCUCGCGUUGAUUACGUCCCUGCCCUUUGUACACACCGCCCGUCGCUACUACCGAUUGAG
rnacentral:rRNA from 1 species